AUGAAAUAAAAUACAAAGUUUGAUUAAAGGUGGUAAACAACCAUUUUCAACACAAAAAAAUAGAACAAAAAAUUAACAAAGUUUAAGCUAAAAUCAUUAUCCAAAAAAUGUUGAAAAAGGGUAGGUUGAAAUGGUGUUAAGCUUGGAUAUAAAGCAAUGGGUUUGGGAUGAAAGUGUUUAUGGUGGAAGUUUAGUGAAG
rnacentral:lncRNA from 1 species